GAUGAACGCUGGCGGCGUGCUUAACACAUGCAAGUCGAACGAGAAGUGGAGACGGAAACCUUCGGGCGGAAGACUUUAUUUCGAGUGGCGGACGGGUGAGUAACGCGUGGGUAACCUGCCUCAUACAGGGGGAUAACAGUUUGAAACGACUGUUAAUACCGCAUAAGACCACAGCACCGCAUGGUGCGGGGGUAAAAACUCCGGUGGUAUGAGAUGGACCCGCGUUCGAUUAGCCAGUUGGCGGGGUAACGGCCCACCAAAGCGACGAUCGAUAGCCGAUCUGAGAGGAUGACCGGCCACAUUGGGACUGAGACACGGCCCAAACUCCUACGGGAGGCAGCAGUGGGGAAUAUUGCACAAUGGGGGAAACCCUGAUGCAGCGACGCCGCGUGAGUGAAGAAGUAUUUCGGUAUGUAAAGCUCUAUCAGCAGGGAAGAAAAUGACGGUACCUGAGUAAGAAGCCCCGGCUAACUACGUG
rnacentral:rRNA from 1 species